AUUGAACGCUGGCGGCAUGCCUUACACAUGCAAGUCGAACGGCAGCGGACCUUCGGGUGCCGGCGAGUGGCGAACGGGUGAGUAAUAUAUCGGAACGUACCUUUCAGUGGGGGAUAACGUAGCGAAAGUUACGCUAAUACCGCAUAUUCUGUGAGCAGGAAAGCAGGGGAUCGCAAGACCUUGCGCUGAUUGAGCGGCCGAUAUCAGAUUAGCUAGUUGGUGAGGUAAAGGCUCACCAAGGCGACGAUCUGUAGCGGGUCUGAGAGGAUGAUCAGCCACACUGGGACUGAGACACGGCCCAGACUCCUACGGGAGGCAGCAGUGGGGAAUAUUGGACAAUGGGCGAAAGCCUGAUCCAGCCACGCCGCGUGGGUGAUGAAGGCC
rnacentral:rRNA from 1 species